rnacentral:tRNA from 1 species
GGGCGAUUAGCUCAGUUGGUAGAGCAACGGACUCUUAAUCCGUGGGUCGCGGGUUCGAUCCCCUCAUCGCCCA